rnacentral:rRNA from 1 species
CGGUUAAGUUAGAAAGGGCGCACGGUGGAUGCCUUGGCACUAGGAGCCGAUGAAGGACGGGACGAACACCGAUAUGCUUCGGGGAGCUGUAAGCAAGCUUUGAUCCGGAGAUUUCCGAAUGGGGAAACCCACCACUCGUAAUGGAGUGGUAUCCAUAUCUGAAUACAUAGGAUAUGAGAAGGCAGACCCGGGGAACUGAAACAUCUAAGUACCCGGAGGAAGAGAAAGCAAAUGCGAUUCCCUGAGUAGCGGCGAGCGAAACGGGACCAGCCCAAACCAAGAGGCUUGCCUCUUGGGGUUGUAGGACACUCUGUACGGAGUUACAAAGGAACGAGGUAGAUGAAGAGGUCUGGAAAGGCCCGCCAUAGGAGGUAACAGCCCUGUAGUCAAAACUUCGUUCUCUCCUGAGUGGAUCCUGAGUACGGCGGAACACGUGAAAUUCCGUCGGAAUCCGGGAGGACCAUCUCCCAAGGCUAAAUACUCCCUAGUGACCGAUAGUGAACCAGUACCGUGAGGGAAAGGUGAAAAGCACCCCGGAAGGGGAGUGAAAGAGAUCCUGAAACCGUGUGCCUACAAGUAGUCAGAGCCCGUUAACGGGUGAUGGCGUGCCUUUUGUAGAAUGAACCGGCGAGUUACGAUCCCGUGCAAGGUUAAGCAGAAGAUGCGGAGCCGCAGCGAAAGCGAGUCUGAAUAGGGCGAAUUGAGUACGUGGUCGUAGACCCGAAACCAGGUGAUCUACCCAUGUCCAGGGUGAAGUUCAGGUAACACUGAAUGGAGGCCCGAACCCACGCACGUUGAAAAGUGCGGGGAUGAGGUGUGGGUAGGGGUGAAAUGCCAAUCGAACCUGGAGAUAGCUGGUUCUCUCCGAAAUAGCUUUAGGGCUAGCCUCAAGGUAAGAGUCUCGGAGGUAGAGCACUGAUUGGACUAGGGGCCCCUACCGGGUUACCGAAUUCAGUCAAACUCCGAAUGCCGAUAACUUAUCCUUGGGAGUCAGACUGCGAGUGAUAAGAUCCGUAGUCGAAAGGGAAACAGCCCAGACCGCCAGCUAAGGUCCCAAAGUAUACGUUAAGUGGAAAAGGAUGUGGAGUUGCUUAGACAACCAGGAUGUUGGCUUAGAAGCAGCCACCAUUUAAAGAGUGCGUAAUAGCUCACUGGUCGAGUGACUCUGCGCCGAAAAUGUACCGGGGCUAAACGUAUCACCGAAGCUGCGGACUGUUCUUCGAACAGUGGUAGGAGAGCGUUCUAAGGGCUGUGAAGCAAGACCGGAAGGACUUGUGGAGCGCUUAGAAGUGAGAAUGCCGGUAUGAGUAGCGAAAGAGGGGUGAGAAUCCCCUCCACCGAAUGCCUAAGGUUUCCUGAGGAAGGCUCGUCCGCUCAGGGUUAGUCGGGACCUAAGCCGAGGCCGAAAGGCGUAGGCGAUGGAUAACAGGUUGAUAUUCCUGUACCACCUCCUCACCAUUUGAGCAAUGGGGGGACGCAGGAGGAUAGGGUAAGCGCGGUAUUGGAUAUCCGCGUCCAAGCAGUUAGGCUGGGAAAUAGGCAAAUCCGUUUCCCGUGAAGGCUGAGCUGUGAUGGCGAGCGAAUUAUAGUAGCGAAGUUCCUGAUUCCACACUGCCAAGAAAAGCCUCUAGCGAGGUGAGAGGUGCCCGUACCGCAAACCGACACAGGUAGGCGAGGAGAGAAUCCUAAGGUGAUCGAGAGAACUCUCGUUAAGGAACUCGGCAAAAUGACCCCGUAACUUCGGGAGAAGGGGUGCUCUGUUAGGGUGCAAGCCCGAGAGAGCCGCAGUGAAUAGGCCCAGGCGACUGUUUAGCAAAAACACAGGUCUCUGCGAAGCCGUAAGGCGAAGUAUAGGGGCUGACGCCUGCCCGGUGCUGGAAGGUUAAGAGGAGCGCUUAGCGUAAGCGAAGGUGCGAAUUGAAGCCCCAGUAAACGGCGGCCGUAACUAUAACGGUCCUAAGGUAGCGAAAUUCCUUGUCGGGUAAGUUCCGACCCGCACGAAAGGCGCAACGAUCUGGGCACUGUCUCAACGAGAGACUCGGUGAAAUUAUAGUACCUGUGAAGAUGCAGGUUACCCGCGACAGGACGGAAAGACCCCGUGGAGCUUUACUGCAGCCUGAUAUUGAAUGUUGGUACAGCUUGUACAGGAUAGGUAGGAGCCUUGGAAACCGGAGCGCCAGCUUCGGUGGAGGCAUCGGUGGGAUACUACCCUGGCUGUAUUGACCUUCUAACCCGCCGCCCUUAUCGGGCGGGGAGACAGUGUCAGGUGGGCAGUUUGACUGGGGCGGUCGCCUCCUAAAAGGUAACGGAGGCGCCCAAAGGUUCCCUCAGAAUGGUUGGAAAUCAUUCGCAGAGUGUAAAGGCACAAGGGAGCUUGACUGCGAGACCUACAAGUCGAGCAGGGACGAAAGUCGGGCUUAGUGAUCCGGUGGUUCCGCAUGGAAGGGCCAUCGCUCAACGGAUAAAAGCUACCCCGGGGAUAACAGGCUUAUCUCCCCCAAGAGUCCACAUCGACGGGGAGGUUUGGCACCUCGAUGUCGGCUCAUCGCAUCCUGGGGCUGUAGUCGGUCCCAAGGGUUGGGCUGUUCGCCCAUUAAAGCGGUACGCGAGCUGGGUUCAGAACGUCGUGAGACAGUUCGGUCCCUAUCCGUCGCGGGCGCAGGAAAUUUGAGAGGAGCUGUCCUUAGUACGAGAGGACCGGGAUGGACGCACCGCUGGUGUACCAGUUGUUCUGCCAAGGGCAUCGCUGGGUAGCUAUGUGCGGACGGGAUAAGUGCUGAAAGCAUCUAAGCAUGAAGCCCCCCUCAAGAUGAGAUUUCCCAUUCCGCAAGGAAGUAAGAUCCCUGAAAGAUGAUCAGGUUGAUAGGUCUGAGGUGGAAGUGUGGCGACACAUGGAGCUGACAGAUACUAAUCGAUCGAGGACUUAACCUAAUUU